AUCCCACAUGCAUAACAUAAAUA
rnacentral:siRNA from 1 species